CAGUCGCCGCGGGAAAACGGAGGGGGCUAGCGUUGUUCGGAAUUACUGGGCGUAAAGCGUACGUAGGCGGCUUUGUAAGUUAGAGGUGAAAGCCUGGAGCUACUCCAGAAUUGCCUUUAAGACUGCAUCGCUUGAACGUCGGAGAGGUGAGUGGAAUUCCGAGUGUAGAGGUGAAAUUCGUAGAUAUUCGGAAGAACACCAGUGGCGAAGGCGGCUCACUGGACGACUGUUGACGCUGAGGUACGAAAGCGUGGGGAGCAAACAGGAUUAGAUACCCCAGUAGUCCCUGUCUCUUAUACAA
rnacentral:rRNA from 1 species